rfam:Rattus norvegicus chromosome 1, whole genome shotgun sequence.
GGGGAUUUAGCUCAGUGGUAGAGCGCUUGCCUAGCAAGCACAAGGCCCUGGGUUCGGUUCCCAGCUCUG